rnacentral:lncRNA from 1 species
UAAUUUUUAUAAUUUUUAAUUUUUUAUGAUUAAUUAUACUUAAUUAAACAAAAUAUUUGUCAAAAUUUUCACAAAAUUUGACCAAAUAUUUCUAUAAAAUAAAAUUUAGUAAUUAAUAAAUAGUAGUUAAUAUAUCAACUAAAUUUACUAUAUUUUUAAUUUAUAUAAAUGUUUUUAAAAUUUUUAAAUAAUUUUUUCUUUUUUUCCACAUAUGACUUUAUAAAAUAAUUUAAUUACUAACAAACUCUAAAAAAACUUUAUAUAUAUGACACAUAAAUCAAUUUUACAUUAUUUUCAGUUAAAUUAUUGUUUAA